UCUAACUGGGGUGUCGUGUGCUCAGAGCUGGGAGGCCAGGUGGAGGAAUCUAGGGUGCAGCGCGAGGAGUGAGGCUCCUCCCGGAUACCUUGACACAACACGGUGUCGCUCUGGUGAAGAGUUGCCCGUGUCUGUGAAAGAACGAGAACGCCAAGGGAGACAACACCCAGAACAGGCGGCUCCACCCAAAACAGGCGGCUCCACCCAGGGAGGCGAAGCGGGAUGCGGAGCUUGGCUUUGAAAUCGGAUGCAUUCCACUUCCUGCUUGUCCGCUGCGAUCCUGCAAGCCUUCUUUUGCUUCUCUUCUUCUUUCUUGUCCCUUCCCAAUGUCUACCUUAUAGGAUAAUCGUCAGGAUUGUGUGAGAAAACGGUAUCAGGCUUGUGGAAGAUUCGAAACCUCUUAGUCCCUACUUCUAUUUAUACGUAAUCUACAAACGGAGUAAAUCCACGAUCCCUGAUGAUCACAGCUCAGAUGCACGAUCUUAGGGUAGAUAAGUAAAGAUCCCAAGGAGAGCUGAGCUGCUAGUCUCCCCUACCUCAACCCCUUUUGACCUUUUUCUUUUUUCUAACUUUUUUUCUUUUGGAAGUUAGAAAGAUGUAUAAAAGAAAAAAAAAUGGUAGGGUAAUGGGCAAAAGGUCUGGAAUUUUUUCACCACCAAAGCAACUUUAUGAAAAGGUUUGCUCAAGUAUUAACAUUCACCGAAGAGUCACAAUGGCAUUACCCGCACCCCUUAGCAGCAAGUCUCCUUACACACCACAGUAUUAUUAAUCACAACUCCAAUACUUGAGGUCCUACUUUGUGCACAGCACCGAACAAGCCCUGCAGUGAUGACAGAGACGACUAAGAUGCGCCUAUGAGUCAUUUUCAAUCUAUUUGGAGACAAGAACUUUGCAGAACGUGGUAAAUAAAUGCUUCCACAGAGACACAAGAAACUCCUAUAUAUCCUAGCUCCUCCCUUACCUCUUUGAAACAGACCCUGAGAGCUAUCUGAGAGGCUGUAUCCCAGGCUGAAGUUCUCAGUCUGCCAAAUAAAACAAAAAAUACAGGACCUGGUUAGCACUGCAUCUGAGCCACUACUAUUUAUGUGAUCUUGGUUAAGGUAACCUCUCCAUAAC